rnacentral:rRNA from 1 species
CGGACGGCGCACGGUGAGUAACGCGUAUGCAACUUACCUAUCAGGAGGGGAUAACCCGGCGAAAGUCGGACUAAUACCGCAUGAAGCAGGGGCCCCGCAUGGGGAUAUUUGCUAAAGAUUCAUCGCUGAUAGAUAGGCAUGCGUUCCAUUAGGCAGUUGGCGGGGUAACGGCCCACCAAACCGACGAUGGAUAGGGGUUCUGAGAGGAAGGUCCCCCACAUUGGUACUGAGACACGGACCAA